UAAGAAUGAGAAAAUAAUUUCUCGCAUUCAUAUGCGCAAGUUGUCAUUCUAUUGUAAGCUAAUACGCGUUUGAAUUUUGUAAUCGUGAAAGAACGCCACCAUAAUUUGUGUAAUUUUUACUUAGACCAGUAAAAAAAUUCCUUUCCCUUUUCUUUGGACAUUAUUUUUAAUCAAUAUUUGUUCAUGAUACUUAACGAAUACUAGUAACACAUAAAUAGUACAUGAAAUCACUCGCAAAUCACUAAUAAAAUUCAAAAUCAGCGGAUUCAAAUUCAUUUCGAAAUUUGUCAGUAACCAUGAACAUAAAAAAAAACUUAAAAAUUAAAAAUUAAAAUAAAAAUAAAUAAAAAACCUUUUUGUUUUCACAUGCAACUACUCGAACAUCAUCUCGGUUUAUAAGAAAAGGGUGUCUUGUGAUUAUGUGCUACAAAAUUGUUCUCCAAUACACUGUAAAAAUCUAGAAGAGAAGACAUCGCACCUAACACAGAUCGCAUGAUUCUAUGAAUAUGAAUGGUAGGCAACAUAUUCAAACAGUUCAUACUUGCUUUCUUUCAUGGUUGAUGGCUGCGUGAUUUUCUUUGGUCUGUUAAUAAAAUAGUUGUUGGCACAUCCGGAACUACCCCAGCAAAUUUAUCAAUUCUUAGCCGAUCAAUUCGUCCUAAUUACCCUGCUGAUUGGAGACUUGGACUCUG
rnacentral:lncRNA from 1 species